AAAUUAAAGAAAAGGUGGUGAAAAGUGAAGAGAUCUCUCUCUCUCUUUUUUUUUUAGGCAUAUAAGAACACAUUAUAUAACUUCUACAGCACUCCAUUCUUUUUUAAGUCAAGUGGGAGAUAGGAAGUAGAGUGUACCUAAAAGAAGUGAUGCCCCAGAAGCAAUGAGCACACCUAGCACAGAGAUCUUGGUGUCUGAUGCUAUUCUCCAAUAAAAGGAAACAUGGAUCCUCAGAGAACUGGCUGCUUCUUCACCUGCGGCACAAAAGGUUGCAUUUGCUUCUCAACACCACAUCAGCUGCCCCCCAUCUUCCACUUCCUGGGAACGUCUGUUGGCCCAUAAUGGCUUCCCUAGGCCUUUUCUCUGUAUCAUAAAUUUCACCUUAAACUCUGAUGAGUAACUGGAAAACAAUUCAUGUAUUUCUUAUUCCAAAUUUAAGUUUACAGAAGCAGGAAUCAGACAGGCCUGGUCAUCUCUUCAAGUCAGGCCACGGAGGUCACCGUUGCCUGGUCAGCCUGGAGUCAAGGGACUGUGGUCCCUGGAGUCAAGGGACCACACCACCUGGUGUGGUGACAGAGUUUCUUUUAGAGGAGACUGUGGUCAGAGAGGGUGCUCCAGCCAAAUCUAAGUAGCACCGGGUUGAAGUUUUCAUACGGUGCUCUCAGAAUCCUUUGAUAGCAUACCCAGGCCAUCCAUAGCUUCCUUUGUUCACACUGUUUGCAGGUAAAAAAGUCCAUUGGCUAGAUUUCAGGAACAAAGUGUUUCUUCAAAUAAAAUGGAAGUUUAUGCUGCAUCUGAUUCCUACUCCUGAAUACCCUCUUCCUCACCUAUUUUAAAACUCAAGACAUCUGAUUAAAGUCACCAGACAGCCCCAGGACUCUCCGCAGGAUACUGAACAAUGGUCUUUAGGAAGACUAAGCUUUCACUGCCCUCUAGUGGAGCGGAGGAGGCAGUUUUGUUGUUAAUAAUAGUUAUGGUUCAAGUUUGAAUAGAUAAACUGGAUCCACUUUAUUGUCCAAAAAGAGGCAAAAGAACAGAAGAGAGAUUUUGUAUGAAGGGAUUAAAAAAAGGAGUUUGUAUAAGAUGCCAAAACUGUCUGGGAAGAAAGGAAGAGCCUUCAGGAAAGCCUGAAUGCUGGGAGCCCAAGCUUAGAGAACACAGAUGAGUAUAGCUGAGGCCCAGAAGUUUCCAAGGAAUGAAGAAGCAUCGUCUGAAUGACAGGAGCUGUGUGGGAGUGAAGUCCUCAUGAGAAGACUGCCUACAUGGUGUUCACUUGAUAGGAACGCCAUAAACAGCACUCACCCACUGUUAGCAUUGUGAGACUUCAAAGCGCCUGCACCCAAGUGUGUGUCUGGUAUACUGCCAAACCCAUCCCACCUCCAAGUUUUCCCAUGGGAUGCUUCCUUACGGCAUUCCUUCAGCUCUGCAAUCAUUACCCAGAAAACAAUUCAGUGCUCAAAAGCUGGUUUCAUGAACAGUAUAUCAACAGGGGUUUCUAGACCCCAAGUUCACAACUGAAAGGAACUUUGGCACAUGUUUUUGAAUGAGACAAUAAAAACACUGUGACAUCUAGAUAAGACAUUGGAAAAUGAAGUCCUAUGUUCUACUUCAAAGUUUUCUUGGAGAGACUCAGCUGAGUAUUAUUUGCAAUCCAAAUAACUGGAUGUAGGUAGACCUUGUCAUAUAGACCUAAUGUAAGUAUGAGGCUGAUGUUUGUUCUUUACAGCAGAAAACUAUACAUUGUUGAACUACUUAUCUGCAAAUUGUCAGGCUACUAAGCUACUUACAUGAGUAAGUAUGGAUUCACUCUAAAAAGUAGAGAGUAAAUGCAUAAUGAUGCAUAACUUCAAUGAUUAUAACAAAACUAUCCCUACCUGAAAUAACAAAGCUUGCAGGUCUACCAUGGGGCUUUGUGGUAUA